GAAUGCUGACAUAAGUAACGAUAAAGCGGGUGAAAAGCCCGCUCGCCGGAAGACCAAGGGUUCCUGUCCAACGUUAAUCGGGGCAGGGUGAGUCGACCCCUAAGGCGAGGCCGAAAGGCGUAGUCGAUGGGAAACGGGUUAAUAUUCCCGUACUUGGUGUUACUGCGAAGGGGGGACGGAGAAGGCUAUGUUGGCCGGGCGACGGUUGUCCCGGUUUAAGCGUGUAGGUGUGUGUUCCAGGUAAAUCCGGUUCACUUUAACACUGAGGCGUGAUGACGAGGCACUACGGUGCUGAAGCAACAAAUGCCCUGCUUCCAGGAAAAGCCUCUAAGCAUCAGGUAACAUCAAAUCGUACCCCAAACCGACACAGGUGGUCAGGUAGAGAAUACCAAGGCGCUUGAGAGAACUCGGGUGAAGGAACUAGGCAAAAUGGUGCCGUAACUUCGGGAGAAGGCACGCUGACAUGUAGGUGAAGUGAUUUA
rnacentral:rRNA from 1 species